CGGCAGAUUUUACGUCAGCCAAUCGGCGGGCGGUACACUCAUUCACAAUCCCAAACCAACAGGAGGUGGGCGUGGCGAGUAGAAGCGGGCGUUUUCCGCAUGUGUGAGAGGAAACACCGGUUGUAAAUGUCAUUGCGAUAACGCUAAUUACCGGGCUGACGGGCAGGGCUCCUACUAUGGGAGUCCGCUAGAUAUAUUAGCAUGCUCUGACGGGGGCAUAGGCGCUGAGAUGUUUUCAAGUAAAGCACAGUGUUAAAUACAGUCUGAAAUAAUCAUCAGAUGUACGUGAGUACGGUUUCACUGAAUAGUAAGUGAUUUUCAUGGGAAAAAAGCUGUGUUGUAACAUGUACACCCAGAAAAAGGCCAGGUCUGUCUGUUUGUGUUGGAAACCCAUGCAUGUGUUCUUUGGCAGCUGCCCAACAGCAUGCCCGGUAUACAUGCGCAGGGCAUAGAAACAUUUGUUCUCUGCAGGCCAACCAAUAUCACACGGCUUGGGCAGAACAUGACUCCAUGGAGCGAGAGCUACGGAACAAUUUAUGUCACUGAGCUGCUGUACAAAUGGAAGCAUACACCGGGGGCUCUAAUUCUGUAACCAACACUUGGUUAAAGUUGCUUUAAGGCCAAAUUUACCAAAUUAAAAGCCCUACAAAAACA